rnacentral:misc_RNA from 1 species
CAGACUCUUCAGCUUUUUCUAGGUAUAAUGCGGCCUCAAAUUCAAAUAAGGCUCCUGGUGUAAACAUUAAAAGUGGUUCCCCACAUGAUUCUAGUUUAGAUUUUACCAAAAAAGGAUUAGUUUGUGAUAUGCUGUCUCAUUCGAAUGGUGAUCAUCCUAAUCAAUGCUCAAAUGUUGGUUGCAAUAACAUUGAUAUGGGUUCCACCACAAAUCACACUUUUACUGAGUCAAUGGUCUUGAAAAAUAAAUCAGCAGUAUCAUCCACGAUCAAAUAUUUGCAUCCACCUUCUAGUUUCCGGCCAUUGAAAGGUGACCCAUUAUGUGCCCCUCAGCAGAUUUUAUCAGAGAAAGCUAAUGAUGUAGCCGGUGCAACAAUGCUAGCUCAACCAAGAGGCACCAAUCAGGAACUCCAAAUUCAGCACCUUGCUAACCAUCAUCAUCAUCAUCCUCCUCACAGCAUGCAAUCACAACAGCAACAGCAACAGCUGCCACCUGACCAUGAUAAUUCAUCAUUGAAGAAAAUGGCUGCAGCUCCUCCACAUUGUGGGUCCUCCAAUUUGUUGGGUGGUCCUGUUGAAGGUAAUGGUGGCAAUUACAGCAUCAAUGGAAGUGCUUCCAGUAGUAACCAUGGCAGUAACCACGGGAGCAAUGGACAAAAUGGGAGUUGCACUGCAGUCAAUGCUGAAGGGACUAAUGUAGAAAGUGAUAAUGGAAUCGCUGGUAAAGCUGGAAGUGGUGAUGGCCGUGGGACUGGGAGUGGAACUGGGGAUGGAAACCUAGUAGAUCAGAGCAAGUUUUCUCAGAGAGAAGCUGCCUUGACCAAAUUUCGACAGAAAAGAAAGUAGCGAUGCUUCAGGAAAAAGGUUCGGUACCAAAGCAGGAAGAGAUUAGCCGAGCAACGACCGCGUGUGCGGGGACAAUUUGUGCGGCAGACAGCUAAUGGGAGCACAAGCAGAGCAACAAGAGAGCUAAUUGAUCCCUUGAUCUGAUAGUGAAAAUUACGCACUGAUUAUUCGGGGCAUAGGUGGCUUGACAUGAAUAGAUAGAGAACAAGAACUGUAUUUGAUUGAUGUAAACUUAAAUUGCGGAACAGUAUUUGUUGCUUAGAACUUUUGCCUGCUACUU